UACAGAGGGGGCAAGCGUUAGGCGGAAUCACUGGGCUUAAAGCGUGUGUAGGCGGAUGCCUAAGUACCUUGUGAAAUCCCACGGCUUAACCGUGGAACUGCUUGGUAUACUGGGUGUCUUAAGCCACUUAGGGGCGACCGGAACAAACGGUGGAGCGGUGAAAUGCGUAGAUAUCGUUUGGAACGCCAAUGGUGAAAACAGGUCGCUGGGAGUGCGCUGACGCUGAGACACGAAAGCCAGGGGAGCGAACGGG
rnacentral:rRNA from 1 species